GUGAGGAAUAUUGCGCAAUGGAGGCAACUCUGACGCAGCCAUGCCGCGUGCAGGAAGAAGGCGCUACGCGUUGUAAACUGCUUUUAACCGGGAAGAAACCCCAGGACGUGUCCUGGGUUGACGGUACCGGAGGAAUAAGCACCGGCUAACUUCGUGCCAGCAGCCGCGGUAAUACGAAGGGUGCAAGCGUUAUCCGGAUUCAUUGGGUUUAAAGGGUGCGUAGGCGGAGCGUUAAGUCAGUGAUGAAAUCCUGCAGCUUAACUGUAGACUUGCCAUUGAUACUGGCGCUCUUGAGUGCGCUUGAAGUGGGCGGAAUGUGCCGUGUAGCGGUGAAAUGCUUAGAUAUGGCACAGAACACCAAUUGCGAAGGCAGCUCACUAAGGCGAUACUGACGCUGAGGCACGAAAGCGUGGGGAUCGAACAGGAUUAGAAACCCUGGUAGUCC
rnacentral:rRNA from 1 species